rnacentral:rRNA from 1 species
CUACGGGGCGCAGCAGUGGGGAAUAUUGGGCAAUGGGCGCAAGCCUGACCCAGCAACGCCGCGUGAGGGAAGAAGGUUUUCGGAUUGUAAACCUCUGUCCUUGGGGACGAAGAAGUGACGGUACCCAAGGAGGAAGCUCCGGCUAACUACGUGCCAGCAGCCGCAGUAAUACGUAGGGAGCAAGCGUUGUCCGGAAUUACUGGGCGUAAAGGGUGCGUAGGCGGCAUAUUAAGUCAGGUGUGAAAUACUCGGGCUCAACCCGGGGGCUGCAUUUGAAACUGAUAUGCUUGAGUGUGAGAGAGGAAAGUGGAAUUCCUAGUGUAGCGGUGGAAUGCGUAGAUAUUAGGAGGAACACCAGUGGCGAAGGCGACUUUCUGGCUCAUAACUGACGCUGAGGCACGAAAGCGUGGGGAGCAAACAGGAUUAGAUACCCGUGUAGUC